UACAGAGGUCUCAAGCGUUGUUCGGAUUCAUUGGGCGUAAAGGGUGUGUAGGUGGCGCGCUAAGUCGGGUGUGAAAUUUCGGAGCUUAACUCCGAAACUGCAUUUGAUACUGGCGUGCUUGAGGACUGGAGAGGAGACUGGAAUUCAUGGUGUAGCAGUGAAAUGCGUAGAGAUCAUGAGGAAGACCAGUGGCGAAGGCGGGGUCUCUGGACAGUUCCUGACACUGAGGCACGAAGGCCAGGGGAGCAAACGGG
rnacentral:rRNA from 1 species